UUUCUUUCUCACAACUAAACAUCUCUUUUCUCCUCUCUCUUCUUCUUUUCCUUUCUCUCCAUCCUGGGACAUUUGAGGCAAAGGGAAAAGAGAAAGAAUAGAAUCAAGACCCCGAAAAGUAAGAGGAGAGGAGAGAGAGAGAGAAAUGAAUUUCUUUGUGGUUGUGCUUCUUCUGUCACGAUUUUUCUUUCAAGAAAAGAAGACAAAGAAAAGACAACAUGUGCACUUUCAGAAUCAAUUUCA
rnacentral:ribozyme from 13 species